rnacentral:lncRNA from 1 species
GCAUCAUUUUUUGGCCUUAAAAUAAUCAAAGGUAAUCUUAUAACUUUUGUUCCUAAUUCCAACAUUUCAAAAAUGGACAUUUAUCUCAAUCCAACAGGAACAAUUCCAAAGAUUAUUUUGGCUUCAACGAGAUUUCUUACAAAAUCUUCAACCAAUUCCUACAAAAGAAAUCCAAUGAGAUUUCUUAGCAUAUUAGCAAUGUGUAAUUUUGCGAUUCUGAGGGAGUACAGUGCAACCUUUUCAAAGAAUAUCAUAUGGAUAUUUCCCUACUCCAGGUAUGUUAAGGCUAUCCCUUCUCUCUUUAUGGCAUGAUCAAUACGAUACCAACGAAACGAGCAAAUGCACAAUUUCCAUAACUGACUCUAUUCAUAGAAGUACUAGGGGUGUCUAUAUUCUUGAUUCCCUGUGUGAAUUAUUAUUAUAUCUUCUGUUCAUGGGUCUCAGAAAAAUACUUAUUUGAUAAAGUUUAUCCGGAAGGCAUAUUGAUUUUUAUGACAUUCCGAGAAAUAUUACUAAUGUAUUUAUUAUGCAUCUCAUGCAUUUAUACAUAUACACUGACCCAUGACCGGAUGGCGUUAUAUACGCGUAUAUUAUAUGUAUUGGGAUAUGGGAAAAGGUUACGACGUUAUAUCUGCACCACCACCUGAUCAGCUGGUAUACAUUGAUGAUUUGCCCACAGUGGCCAAGAUGAUAUGAUGGGAUGCCCUCAGAGGCUUGAUGAUGUUAUGAACACAUAUACCUAUGCAUGAUAUGACAUUUAUACGUAUAUGCAUGACAUUAUAAAAAUAAAAUGAUUCACAGAGCUAGGCAAACGUAUAUGCCGAGUCUUUUACUCCAUGUUUCUCUCAUGUCUAUUAUUUAUUGAUUUUCAUUCCUUACAUACUCGGUACAUUAUUUGUACUGACAUCCCUUUUGCCUGGGAACGCUACGUUUCAUGCCCGCAGGUCCCGAUAGACAGGUUGAGAGCACUCCAAGUAGGCUAUCAGCUCAGUGAAAGAUGUUGGUGCGCUCCAUUUGCUUGGGAGUUGCUUGUUUGGUUAGUAUGAUUUAGACGUGUAUUGUUUGGUAUGGCGGGACUCUGUCCCGACCUUUGUGAAAAUUAUAUAUCAUUAGAGGCUUGUAGAGAGAUGUCAUGUACGUAAACGAUUGUAUGGCCUUGUCGGCCUAUGUUCAGUGUACGAGUGCUUAAUUUGGUCUUAUAGGNNNNNNNNN